rnacentral:tRNA from 1 species
AGCUAAGUAAUUUAUUUAAAAUAGUUACCUUGAAAGUAAAAAAAGAGAAUCUCAUUAGCUU